AAGAUCACACUUACUGAAGAAGAACCGGACAGGACAGACAAAGAUCUCUCAGCGGGCUCACACCUUGAAAAGGCUUCAGAUUUACACCCACGUGUGUUCUGCUUUGCCCCCAUCCUCCUUUCCCUGCCCAUGCCCUUUGCCCACCUCAGUUAAUGAGAAACAGAAGUCAAUGGACUUGGAAACGAACUUAGAAGCUCAGAGGGGAUUUCUUCUGGCUCACAGUUCCAGGCCACAGUCCAUCACAGCGAGGAGGACAAAGCAGCCGGGACUUGAGGCAGCUGUUCACAUCACAUCCACAGUCAGGAGGCAGAACGAUGAAGCCUGUGCAUUUCUCCUUUGUAUACAGCCCAGAACCCAAGCCCAGGAAACAGUGUCCCCCACAAUCAAGAUGGGUGACACACACCGUUAGUCCCAGCACUCAGAAAGCAAAUGCAGGUAAAUCUCUGUGAGUUCAAGGUCAGCCUGGUCUACACAGUGAUUUCAAGGAGAGCCAGGGACACACAAUGACACCCUGUCUAUAAAUAAAUAAAUAAAUAAAUAAAU